CUUUGGGAGUCAUUGAGUUGUUUAUCACUGAAAGCCUGUUUGGAAAUUAUUAAUUGGUUUUAGGCCUAUUUCUAGGAACACACCUUUAGUGAACGAUGCCCUCGAGCGAUAACUUGUUUUGACUCACAAACCUUUUUGUGAAACAGUAUUAAAUGCAUUGUUUUAAUCAACCCUUCAAAGAUAUGUUUGUUAACCAAAAACGUCCACUGGAAAUAAGAAUCUGGAGGUGCUGUGGUUAAGAUCUUGGACUUUUGAGAAAUGAUCGAUAGUAUUUUUUGGGGGGAUGUAUAGUAAAAAGAAAGUCGUCGCUGCUUGGAACAAUAAUUAAAAACUGAAGACCCCACCACGGCUCAUUAAGAUUUCAGGACAAGUAGUUCGUCAACGUUUUUUUAAAUGCAAAUGAUGUUAUUGUCUUGUAUUGAUUGAGAACCUGCGGGCAAGAUCUUAGAAGUAGUGCCUUCCGAUAUAUUUUCGAUGCAACCGUCCUUUGUGAAUGGAGUCAAGUUCAAGUUUAACCAAUUCUGACUGAAAUUCCGACGACAAAGCUGAUACAUCCUCAUAUGGAAUUCCAUCACGAGGCUCAGUUAAGAAGGCCAAAAAGAAUAGAACUGAGGUUUAGAGUAGGACAAAAAGUAAUUCGUAGACGUUCUUCCUCUCGAACAGAGUAAACUGAAUAGGAGUCCAAAGAAUUUGCUAACUGCGACGGCGAUCAAGCGAACUACGCCUGAAAUUUACAAGCGAUUACGGUGAAAUCUACCCACCGUGGAGAUCAGCUUUGCAACCGACAUGGUAUUAUUUUGUCACAGAUACACUUGGUUUGUUCUCGCGAUUUGGACCAUCCAACUCGUGGUUUUCGUCCAAGGAGAAGGUAAG